GUUUGCGGUCAUACCAACUUGAACGCGCCAGAUCUCGUCUGACUUCAGAAGCUAAGCACGGUUGGGCCUGGUUAGUGCUUGGAUGGGAGACCGCCUGGGAAUACCGGGUGCUGUAGGCG
ensembl:rRNA 5S_rRNA 5S ribosomal RNA